CUUAGGUGACAUCUAUCAUGCCGGAAUAGCAUCUUACUGAGAAUAUAUUGUCUAAAUUCUCAAGAUUUUAGUUUAAUUCGUUUUAGGGUGUUCAUUUUAUUUAUUUUGCUCUGCAUCUUAAUUUACUUCUAUUAGUUACAGGAGGAUUUUAAUUCGUGGAAUUUCUGGAAACUGCCACCUCCUUUGAUUGAUAUAUGAAGAUGUCAGCUAGAAUAAUAUUUGCUUGAGCAUUCGAAUACCAAGAUAGAUGUACGAUGUCAGCUAUCUUUUUGGUGCUGUACAUUAUCUGCUUGGAACUUGAAUGGCAGUUUUUUUAACAUCCAUA